rnacentral:rRNA from 1 species
UACGAAGGUGGCAAGCGUUACUCGGAAUUACUAGGCGUAAAGCGCAGGUAGGUGGUUGUGUAAGUCUGCUGUGAAAGCUCCCGGCUUAACUGGGAGAGGUCAGCGGAGACUGCAUAGCUAGAGUGUGGGAGAGGGUACUGGAAUUCCCGGUGUAGCGGUGAAAUGCGCAGAGAUCGGGAGGAACACCUAAGGCGAAAGCAGGUACCUGGACCAUUACUGACACUAAGCUGCGAAAGCUAGGGGAGCAAACAGG